ACUCUCUCUCUAGUGCCAACGGAUUCUACACGCUCAACAAUUCUUUUCUUUUCGCUCAACUUAUGGAGUUAAUCUCCACUGUGAGAAUCGUACUCAAACGUGUUUUUGUUUGACUGUCGGAACCUCAUCUCUGGUUGAGAGAUUAGUUCUACUCACAGUCAUUUGUGGUCACACAGUUUUGUUGUCGUUUAUCCCAUCCGAGUGCUGUGCACUCAGUUAAUUAUACUUUAUGUUCCUUGUAUACCACGUCAUUUGACGUGAAACCUCAACAAGCUUGAUAUGCAAUUCCUGUAACAAUACAGAUGCCUGUACAACAGAAGCCUAGUCAUGAUGCACACUCAUUUAUUCGAAUUUACAACAGAAACUGCUAUUAACGACCAAAGAGUAGAAGAGGAGGACGGCAGCGUGAACGAAGAUGCAUACAAUGCAUAUAGUGAUGCCUUCCCAUAAAAAAGGAGGAUCUUUUGAAAAUCAGCACAGCUAAUGACAAAAAAUUUGUGUUGGAUCUCUUAGGCAGUAUUUAUUCUCCGACACAUUUGCGCCUACACGAAAAGAAGGCCACCGUCGGUGAAAACCUAAAAAUACCGAGUUCACGCGACCACUACACACAAUUUCAGGCGUUGAAGGUGAAGUUGACUAAAAAUCGCUUACCUUCCAAACUGAAGAAUGCAAUUUCGCACAAAUUAAAUCAAGUACGGCCAACCGUGGUAGACAAGACAGAACUGCGCCGGUAUUGCAAGACGAAGCAGCAGGAGGAGCGCGAGUAAUUUUGAGGUGUAAAAUGUUAUUUAAAGUGUCAUUAAAAAAACACUGAAGGUGAAAUGUAACAAUACAAAGAAAGGUU